UCCGGUUUGUCACCGGCAGUCUCCCUAGAGUUCCCGACCGAAUCGCUGGCAAAUAGGGACAAGGGUUGCGCUCGUUACGGAUUUAGCCCGGGUAAGGUUCUUCGCGUUGCAUCGAAUUAAGCCACAUGCUCCACCGCUUGUGCGGGCCCCCGUCAAUUCCUUUGAGUUUCAUUCUUGCGAACGUACUCCCCAGGUGGUAUGCUUACUGCGUUAACUGCGUCACCGAUCCGCAAGCGGACCAACAACUAGCAUACAUCGUUUACAGCGUGGACUAC
rnacentral:misc_RNA from 1 species